rnacentral:lncRNA from 1 species
GUUUCAAGCCUGAAGAUGUCUCUGACUCGCCUAAUGGAGUCACUCCGCCUGGCCACCGUGUUUUGAUGUCUCUACAGGGGAAGAAGCAAGGCUCCUUGGCAGCAGCGGAAGCUAGAAAGAGAAGGAAAGAACUCACUAAGCUCAAGAACCUCCACGGCCGUCAAUGUCGGAUGCAAGUAUGACAACAUUACAAUAUAGAUUCAUCCUUUUUUACCAGUUGCAUUACCACUAAAGGUACUACUACUUCCCUUUGUUUUUGUCCGGGGCAUUUUCCAAUUGUUUCGGCUUUUCUUUAUUUUAAACACCGACGUCACACUGAUCCAACAAACAAAAUUGGAUUACUAUUAUUAUUACACACAAGGUUAGUAGUGUUUUCAAGGGUUUUGUUUUUCACAAAAUGUUGUUGGACCAUUGUAAGAUUCUGUUUGCUUCUCAGUGGAAGUUUUGUAUUAACAUGUUUUCAGGGCUUUUGUUCCCUUUUUAGAAGACAGAAUCAAUAAGGUUUUGGAAUGAAUCAGUUUCCAUUUAUUAUUAACUAGUGACUAAAUUAUUAAGAUAUUAAAGAAAAAGCAUCCAAGAUCCUGUUCUACAAUCUCUGAGGCCUCAAGUUUGGUUUACCGACCGAACCAAAUGAAGCAAUCUCUUGACACCGAACGAUCCCAGCAGCUCCACCAUAACACAACAAUCUCUCGCUUCCUUUGUUCAUAUUCCACCGCACUUUGUGCAUCGCCACCAUUUUAGGUGGGAGCCUUUCUACUUUCACUCCGCUGCUACUGUUACUUGCUUCCUUUCUUCUUCCUUCUCCUUCAUCCCCAUCUUCUUUAAUACAAACCAGCGCUCCUCUGUUCUCGUCCUCCUCUAUUGUGUUCCCCUUUCCCUUUUUAUCCUUUGACUUUGAUGCCUUCUUGUUAGUUCCCUCGGGUUCAGACUCUGAUCCCGGUUCCUCAUCCUGUGCAAAAGCUGUACACAUGUAAAGUAAAUUAGUUUCAAUCAGUGUUUCAAAAAAAAAAGAAUGCGGGGCCAUCUAAUCGGCAAAUUAGAUCUAAAUGAAAAGAUUUUUCAAUUAUUUAGCGGCUCAGAAAAUUGGUUUAGGUGUCCGCCUAAUCAAUAAUUUCAUAUAAGUCGUCUAAAUGCCGCCGCCUAACGAUUUUUUUUUAACAUUGGUUUCAAUGGUACAACCCAAACCAGUGCCAGAUCCGAAGUCCUCUCAGAAGAGGGAGAUGGUUUUCCCGUAACAACGCAACAACAAGCUUUUAGUUUCAAGCCUGAAGAUGUCUCUGACUCGCCUAAUGGAGUCACUCCGCCUGGCCACCGUGUUUUGAUGUCUCUACAGGGGAAGAAGCAAGGCUCCUUGGCAGCAGCGGAAGCUAGAAAGAGAAGGAAAGAACUCACUAAGCUCAAGAACCUCCACGGCCGUCAAUGUCGGAUGCAAGUAUGACAACAUUACAAUAUAGAUUCAUCCUUUUUUACCAGUUGCAUUACCACUAAAGGUACUACUACUUCCCUUUGUUUUUGUCCGGGGCAUUUUCCAAUUGUUUCGGCUUUUCUUUAUUUUAAACACCGACGUCACACUGAUCCAACAAACAAAAUUGGAUUACUAUUAUUAUUACACACAAGG